rnacentral:rRNA from 1 species
GAUUAACGCUGGCGGCGUGCCUAACACAUGCAAGUCGAGCGGCAGCGAGUUUUACACUGAAUUCUGGAAGCUUCUAGUUGAAAGAGAAGAUUUAUUCAAGAAUUUUGUGUAAAAUGUCGGCGAGCGGCGGACGGCUGAGUAACGCGUGGGAACGUACCCCAAAGUGAGGGAUGACGCAUCGAAAGGUGUGCUAAUACCGCAUAUGGUCUUCGGAUUAAAGCCUUCGGGCGCUUUGGGAGCGGCCUGCGUAAGAUUAGAUAGUUGGUGGGGUAAUGGCCUACCAAGUCGACGAUCUUUAACUGGUUUGAGAGGAUGAUCAGUCAGACUGGAGCUGAGACACGGUCCAGACUCCUACGAGAGGCAGCAGUGAGGAAUCUUCCACAAUGGGCGAAAGCCUGAUGGAGCAACGCCGCGUGCAGGAUGAAGGCCUUCGGGUUGUAAACUGCUUUUAUAAGUGAGGAUUAUGACAGUAACUUAUGAAUAAGGAUCGGCUAACUACGUG